rnacentral:rRNA from 1 species
UACGUAGGGGGCAAGCGUUGUCCGGAUUUAUUGGGCGUAAAGAGCGUGUAGGCGGCCAGACAAGUCUGCUGUGAAAACUCGAGGCUCAACCUCGAGCUGUCGGUGGAAACUGUCUGGCUAGAGUCCGGAAGAGGAGAGUGGAAUUCCUGGUGUAGCGGUGAAAUGCGUAGAUAUCUGGAGGAACACCGGUGGCGAAGGCGGCAUCCUGGACCAUUACUGACACUGAAUAGCGAAAGCCAGGGGAGCAAACGGG